UGAGGAAUAUUGGGCAAUGCCCGCAAGGGUGACCCAGCAACGCCGCGUGGAGGAUGAAUGUCGUAGGAUUGUAAACUCCUGUUAGAGGGGAAGAAUAGUACCGGUUGGACCGGUAUAUGACUGUACCCUCAGAGAAAGCCCCGGCUAACUACGUGCCAGCAGCCGCGGUAAUACGUAGGGGGCAAGCGUUGUCCGGAUUUACUGGGUGUAAAGGGCGCGCAGGCGGGAUAAAAAGUCAGUGGUGAAAUCCUACAGCUUAACUGUAGAACUGCCUUUGAUACUUUUAUUCUUGAGUUCGGGAGAGAGAGACGGAAUUCCAGGUGUAGUGGUGAAAUACGUAGAUAUCUGGAAGAACACCAGUUGCGAAGGCGGUCUCUUGGUCCGACACUGACGCUGAGGCGCGAAAGCGUGGGGAGCAAACA
rnacentral:rRNA from 1 species